GAGGUGGGAGGAUUACUUAAAGCCCAGGAGUUCGAGGCUGCAGUGAGCUAUGAUCAUGCCACUGCACUCCAGCCUGAGUGACAGAGCAAGACCUUAUCUCA
rnacentral:miRNA from 1 species